rnacentral:rRNA from 1 species
AACGAACGCUGGCGGCAUGCCUAACACAUGCAAGUCGAACGAGACCUUCGGGUCUAGUGGCGCACGGGUGCGUAACGCGUGGGAACCUGCCCUUAGGUUCGGAAUAACUCCCCGAAAGAGGUGCUAAUACCGGAUAAUGUCUUCGGACCAAAGAUUUAUCGCCUUUGGAUGGGCCCUCGUUUGAUUAGCUAUUUGGUAGGGUAAAAGCCUACCAAGGCGACGAUGCAUAGCUGGUCUGAGAGGAUGAUCAGCCACACUGGGACUGAGACACGGCCCAGACUGCUACGGGAGGCAGCAGUGGGGAAUAUUGGACAAUGGGCGCAAGCCUGAUCCAGCAAUGCCGCGUGAGUGAUGCAGGCCUUAGGGUUGUAAAGCUCUUUUUACCGGGAUGAUAAUGACAGUACCGGGAGAAUAAGCUCCGGCUAACUCCGUG